rnacentral:rRNA from 1 species
UACGUAGGUGGCAAGCGUUGUCCGGAUUUACUGGGUGUAAAGGGCGUGUAGCCGGGCUUACAAGUCAGAUGUGAAAUCCGGGGGCUCAACCCCCGAACUGCAUUUGAAACUGUAGGUCUUGAGUAUCGGAGAGGCAGGCGGAAUUCCUAGUGUAGCGGUAAAAUGCGUAGAUAUUAGGAGGAACACCAGUGGCGAAGGCGGCCUGCUGGACGACAACUGACGGUGAGGCGCGAAAGCGUGGGGAGCAAACAGG